GGCGGCGUAGCCAAGUGGUAAGGCAAGGGUCUGCAAAAUCCUUUCGCAGUGGUUCGAUUCCACUCGCCGCCUCCA
rnacentral:tRNA from 1 species